CUUCAUUUCGAGGCCAGUUAUCUCACUGGACAUCCCAGUGACAACUGAUGCUGAUGCAGAAGCUCACUCUUCUGGUGAUUAAAAGCCCACAUUCCUAGUCUUGUUUCUCUUGAAGGACCUUGUUCUCCUCAUUAUCCUUAUAUUCAUCCUCAUUCAUCUAUUCUUUAUGCAGCUCUUCAGGCUCCCGGAUGCAGUUUUCUCACUGAGAAAUGCAAUAACACCUUCAAGUGCUUUGCUUGCACACCAUAUAACUAUUUUAAAAUACAAUUCUUUAAUAAGAGCUACCCAGAUAAUCCCAGAGAGCGUGGGUUCUCACAAGGGAUUCUCUCACAGGUGUAUACUGUGCGCUGUUUUUUUUUCCUAUUCCUGCACUGUUUUUUCCUAUAACCUGCACUGUAUUUUUCCUAUUCCCUUCAGAAUAUAUACACAAAGAUAUGGCAGUUCUUCACCAUGUCUACUGCUCUUGGGCAAAGAGUUAAUUCAUGCAAGUGGGAAAAAAGGUCUGCUUGGAUAGCAAGUUGUUUGCUUUCACCUGAAAAACUCAGGGUCCUGAACACAAUUCACUGUGAUGGACGUGGUUAUCCCAACAGCAGAUAAAGAGACUAAGACUGAGCCUAUCCGAACAUCUAGCAAUUUUGCCCUAAAGCAAAAGGAUGGCUUGAGAGGUUAGUACACUAUUGCCCCUGGAAUAUAAAAUGGAUGUUAUCACAUUCCUCCAGCCUGCAAAUAUUUUCCUUUCUGUGUCCUCUGACGGUGAUUAUUGUUUAAUCCUCCUUAUUCUCCCUGACAUCAAGCAAUUCCAGCAGCAGGGCAGAAAUCCAGCACCAGCGCUGGACCUGCGUCCUGGAGAAAACCUCACGCCGGAGCCGGGCAGCCGUCAUGCAAAGCUCUGCCCCAUCUGAGGGUCUCGAGGGAGGUGAUGCUGUCCUCUGACGUGCAUCGACCGUCCGGGAAGCCUGCUGCUCUUCGUCCUGUGCUGCCAUCGCGGGGAGAACAAGCUGUCGCAGAGAGCCAGGGAGCUUUUUCCACCUCUCUCCAAAGUGCCAGGGACCGGCCCUUGCUGAACACGGGCCUCUGGCAGGAGGGAUUCAUGCUUGGUACAGAAAACUCUUACACGCUCACAUGAGCUCUGACCUCCGAGGCCAUUUGGUGUGUGGAGCAGAGGAAAACACUGCCCAUUUUGGGGGGCAUUAAUCCUAGGCCCUAGCUACUUGCAGGCUCAGGUGGACAUGGCACGUGUGAACUCCGGUGAUUUCUGCUCAGGCUCAGGAAUUAACGAUUGGCUUUUAAAAGGCAGCAGGAGAAUGAGGAUGCACAGCCACGGUGAGGUGCUGCUGGCAUCAGCAGGGUGUCAACGCGAUGAGUUUCUCCUAUCAAAGCUUCCCUAGCCCGUGUCUCAGUUCCCUAUAUUCGAUCCAUGUAAUUACAGGUAGUUUUAGUCAGUGUAAUUAUCACAUCUGGUUUGUAAAGGGCCGUAUUUACAGAUAAAAGCUAUAAAAAGUGUGUUUGUAAAGGUAUUUAUAGCCAAAAGGGUUGCAAGAGUAUGUCAACACCCCCAGUCCCCGAUUAAUAAGAAAGCUAAUAAAAGCUAAAAGAGGACAGGGGGUGUGACUCCUUAUUUUCCAGAAAUACAACUCAUGAUCCAAAUUCCCGGUUUCAUCACUCUGUCUCCUAAACAUUCUCGCUGAAUGAGUGUGUCUCACCCUUUUUUUUUUCGUAUUUCUCACCCUUUUUGCCCUUGUUGUAAGAGUAGGGAUGGUAAAACUCCAAACUUUCUUUUGCAGAUCAGAGGAGCAUCAAAGGGAAGCCCAAGAGCUUCUGAGAUAGGGCUCAUCUUCCACUUCCAAGGCAGCGUGGGGUUUUACACAGCAUAAUAACAUGGUCCCUUGGCAGUAAUUUCCACUUGCUGGUGUAGCCAAAUCACCAUUGACUGUGGAGCAGAAAGCUGCUUCAGCUCUCGUGUCACUGAGAUCCUCCAGAGCAGCCUGCAAACUCGUACUGCUUGUCUAAAGAAUUAAUUUUAUGAACUACUAUUUCAGAACAAGCACGAUGGCACGCUACUGCCGCGCACUCCAACAGUACCCAGGAGCAGCCCACCACCAGAUCUCAUUAAACUUCAUUUUACAUCACCGCUGCUAUUUUGUAAGUCAAACCUAUUUUCACAUCAGCAAGGCUUUUGAAGAUGGGGGAGGAAAGGAACCGCAGAGUGAAAGCAGAUGUUCGGUUGGUGCACUUUCAUUUUUUUUUUCCAGUUCCCUGAUGAGAACCUCGUGCCAGUGCUAGCUCUGCUCUGCGGGGCCCAUGGGGCAGAAUAUUGGGACAGGACAUUCAGUAUUCCCUCUUGAAGCUCACCGGGUCCCCAAAACAAGGGCCAGAAAUCAUCGUGUUUUCAACCAACUAGAUUUCAGAGGCUGUUAUCAGUAUUUCUUAAUUAGUGUGUGGUGCCCUGGUGACCUCCGAGGGUUGUGUAAAGAA